rnacentral:rRNA from 1 species
GCAGUGGGGAUUCUGCACAAUGGAGCCAUGCUGAUGCAGCGACGCUGCAUGCAGGGAUGAAGCCUCGGUUGUAAACCUCUUUCAGCAGGGAAGAAGCGCAAGUGACGGUACCUGCAGAUGAAGCGCCGGCUAACUACGUGCCAGCAGCCGCGGUAAUACGUAGGGCGCAAGCGUUGUCCGGAAUUAUUGGGCGUAAAGAGCUCGUAGGCGGUUUGUCGCGUCUGCUGUGAAAACUCGAGGCUCAACCUCGGGCUUGCAGUGGGUACGGGCAGACUAGAGUGCGGUAGGGGAGACUGGAAUUCCUGGUGUAGCGGUGGAAUGCGCAGAUAUCAGGAGGAACACCGAUGGCGAAGGCAGGUCUCUGGGCCGCAACUGACGCUGAGGAGCGAAAGCAUGGGGAGCGAACAGGAUUAGAUACCCUGGUAGUCCAUGCCGUAAACGUUGGGCACUAGGUGUGGGGCUCAUUCCACGAGUUCCGUGCCGCAGCAAACGCAUUAAGUGCCCCGCCUGGGGAGUACGGCCGCAAGGCUAAAACUCAAAGAAAUUGACGGGGGCCCGCACAAGCGGCGGAGCAUGCGGAUUAAUUCGAUGCAACGCGAAGAACCUUACCAAGGCUUGACAUACACCGGAAACUUCCAGAGAUGGUUGCCCCGCAAGGUCGGUGUACAGGUGGUGCAUGGUUGUCGUCAGCUCGUGUCGUGAGAUGUUGGGUUAAGUCCCGCAACGAGCGCAACCCUCGUCCUAUGUUGCCAGCGGGUCAUGCCGGGGACUCAUAGGAGACUGCCGGGGUCAACUCGGAGGAAGG